GCUCAGAUUGAACGCUGGCGGCAGGCCUAACACAUGCAAGUCGAACGGUAACAGGAAGAAGCUUGCUUCUUUGCUGACGAGUGGCGGACGGGUGAGUAAUGUCUGGGAAACUGCCUGAUGGAGGGGGAUAACUACUGGAAACGGUAGCUAAUACCGCAUAACGUCGCAAGACCAAAGAGGGGGACCUUCGGGCCUCUUGCCAUCGGAUGUGCCCAGAUGGGAUUAGCUAGUAGGUGGGGUAACGGCUCACCUAGGCGACGAUCCCUAGCUGGUCUGAGAGGAUGACCAGCCACACUGGAACUGAGACACGGUCCAGACUCCUACGGGAGGCAGCAGUA
rnacentral:rRNA from 1 species